GAUGAACGCUGGCGGCGUGCCUAAUACAUGCAAGUCGAGCGAAUGGAUUAAGAGCUUGCUCUUAUGAAGUUAGCGGCGGACGGGUGAGUAACACGUGGGUAACCUGCCCAUAAGACUGGGAUAACUCCGGGAAACCGGGGCUAAUACCGGAUAACAUUUUGAACCGCAUGGUUCGAAAUUGAAAGGCGGCUUCGGCUGUCACUUAUGGAUGGACCCGCGUCGCAUUAGCUAGUUGGUGAGGUAACGGCUCACCAAGGCAACGAUUCGUAGCCGACCUUAGAGGAUGAUCUGCCACACUGGGACUGAGACACGGCCCAGACUCCUACGGGAGGCAGCAGUAGGGAAUCUUCCGCAAUGGACGAAAGUCUGACGGAGCAACGCCGCGUGAGUGAUGAAGGCUUUCGGGUCGUAAAACUCUGUUGUUAGGGAAGAACAAGUGCUAGUUGAAUAAGCUGGCACCUUGACGGUACCUAACCAGAAAGCCACGGCUAACUACGUGCCAGCCGCCGCCGUAA
rnacentral:rRNA from 1 species